UACGUAGGGGGCAGCGUUGUCCGGAAUCAUUGGGCGUAAAGAGCGUGUAGGCGGCCCGAUAAGUCCGCUGUGAAAGUCCAGGGCUCAACCCUGGAAUGCCGGUGGAUACUGUCGGGCUCGAAUCCGGAAGAGGUGAGUGGAAUUCCUGGUGUAGCGGUGAAAUGCGCAGAUAUCAGGAGGAACACCAAUGGCGAAGGCAGCUCACUGGCCGGUACUGACGCUGAGGCGACGAAGACGUGGGGAGCAAACAGG
rnacentral:rRNA from 1 species